rnacentral:misc_RNA from 1 species
UUUGUUUUGAUUGUGAAGGAAUUUGUCCCGGGAUUCAUGAUUCAUACUUAAUUGCUGGUGGUAUUUUGAUGCACCUGGAGAUCUUCUGUUGGCUUCUUUUUGUGUACUUAUGCAAAUAGGAAAUAUGUGCUGAAUAAUCUUAUCGUUUAUAUAAUUCUAACAGGGGCAUAUGGGAUGGUGAAAGUUGGUUGCUAAGGUAGCUUUGGAUGAAAAUUUAGAAGAUGUGUUUUGAUCUUUCCUCUAAAGUGGCAUCAAUGCUUCUCAUUGCAGCUAUUUUGAUUAGCUGCAGCCUAUGUAUUAGUCCAGUAAUUUGAUGAAAUUAUUGUUGCUGCUGCUA